rnacentral:rRNA from 1 species
AUGACGUCAAGUCCUCAUGGCCUUUAUGUCCUAGGGCUACACACGUACUACAAUGGCCGGUACAAAGGGCAGCCACUCAGCGAUGAGGCGCUAAUCCCAUAAAGCCGGUCUCAGUCCGGAUCGCAGUCUGCAACUCGACUGCGUGAAGUUGGAAUCGCUAGUAAUCGUAGAUCAGCAUGCUACGGUGAAUACGUUCCCGGGCCUU